rnacentral:lncRNA from 1 species
CCCACCAAUAAAUCAAAACGAUGUCAUUUCCUUGAGCUUAACCUCAACCGUUGAUCCCGUAUGAUUAGAAGGCCAGGAACUAGCGUCCCUUUAAUAUGAAACUGUCAAAAGGCCUAACCCUCCCCCCUCUCACUCGUCUCUUUCACCCUCUUCUUUUUCGGAGACUCCUAACAAAAAUCCUAGAAGCUACCUUAUCUCCCUACCGUCUCAGGCAGGCGGCGGCGGUCCCAAACGACCCCAAAAUAACACCCCCGUAACCACCAAGAGCCCCUCAUUCAAAAUCGCCACUCUGUUUGCUUCGAAUCUCCCCGGAACCUCUCGAAUUUUAGAUCAAAAAUAAACCCUAAAAACUCCAAAAGCAUCCAAAUCAAAUUUUUGUUGAAGAUUUAGGUCUAAUUUGGUUUUAUUCAUUUGUUCAUUAUAAAAACACACGAUUAAUAUCAUAUUUAGCCAAAAAUAGGAGGGUUUGAAGACUCAAGCUCCAUUCCUCACUGUUCGAACUUUAGUAAGCUUUUCUUUUCUUUUUCUCCUUGGUUUAAUCUUUUCUUCACUCUUCUUUUUUAUUUUUCUGCUUCUUCUCAUCUUCGUGAUUCCUGUCUAUGUUUUCUAGUUUCUCAAGGGACAUUUUUCUAUGCAUGUUAGUUUUAAAUAAAUUUUCUUUAGUUAAUGCAUUUAAUCUAUUAAUUAGUUUAGUAUAAAUUUUUUAAUUUAGUUAAUUAGUCAAUACGUCGUUUAGUCUAUAUUUUUUUAUUUUUUUAAUCCAUUUCAAUAUUCAUGUUAUCAUGUGCUUACAGAUUUUUUAAUUAGAUAAGUGUAUCGUUUGGGAUAUGGGCUGUCUCUCAUUCAUUUGUCAAAGAGUAGCCCGUCCAAAUUUGUUUUGUUAUUGGGUCAAUUGUGACGCAUUGUUGGUCAGGUUUUUCAGAAGUAAUUAAUAGGUCUUAUAGGGGUAAAUUUGGAAUUGUAGGUAAGGGAAUCAUUUGUAACAGCCUAAGGAUACUUCUAGGAAGGUGGGUGUUCAGACUAAUGUGGAAGUUGAUUUUUAAAUCUAAAAUUUUCUAAGCUAAAAUGAAAAUAUCAAAGUGCAAAGUGCAAAUCUGAUUUCUUUUAGGUACCCUAAUAGCUUCCUUAUAGAGCAUGAUUACUUGGUAUUCUACUUACAGUUUUUAGAGAUAAAGAAAAGACUAAAGAAAACGAGAAGAUAUUGAAAGGGGUGUGAAAAUAUGAUAAAAUCACCGUCCCGUUGAAGUUCUUCUUUAAUUCUUGAGGUUUUCAAUUUCUGAAGUUAUCUAUGAUUUAUCUAGGGUUUGAAAAUUGUUUAAAAAAAAGUUGAGGUCACAGUCGAUUAAUUGCUGGUUGGGUUUGCUAUGUUGCUUGAUUCUCUCAUCUCUUUCUUCCUUUGAUUUCAGCAUCAAUUUACUUCUUGGUUCUCUGAAUAUAUGAGAUGCAAGUUUGGAGUAUUAUAAUUGAUUGAAGAUUUCAGAAAUAAAUGUUAUCCCCUUGCUAUGGAAUGUUAGCUAUGUAUUUUAGGAUUCUCAAGUAGUGUAAUAUAAUUAUGAUUUAUCGUUUCAUUCGUAUCCUUCAGGUUGCAUUGUAUCUUAUGGUGGGAUAUGAAAUCUGUUAAUCUGUCGAGUUAGAGGUAUUUGCAUAGAGAAUACCUCAUGUGGGAUUGUUGUUCACCUGUGUGUAGUUUAUAAGUUGCCCAUAAUUAGGAUAAUAUGCAUAAGUAGAAUAAUAUAAGUGUUGUUAAUUCGAUAUGUGGGUUGUGCGGGGGUUUUUUCUGAAAGUGUUGCCUAUGGUUAUGAUUGAGUGUUCAUUAGUAUAGUCAUUUAUUUUUUAGGCAUCUGAUUUAGGAGACAUGUCCCCCGAUCAAUUAGAAUAGUUAUUAUAUUUGUCAAUUUUCUCAUGGUUCGUAGAAUAGCUCAAUUGUAUCAUUUUGAAGUUCAUCCUUCCUUUUCUUGUGUCCCUGUCAUGUGAACAUAUAAAGACUGUCAAAGGAUAUUAGGAGUUUGAUUUUAGAAUUAGUAAUUUUCAUUAUUGAGUUUCAGCUCUUCUGUAUCUUGUUUUCUGUAGAGGUAAUUUGAAAUCCAUGUUUUGUUCAAAGUUGGGGGUGAAAUGCUAAUUAGUGGAUAAUUUGUGUAAGGGUAUAAUGUUGCAUAGGGACGGUAUCUUCGCUUCAAAAUCUAUGUUAGCCUUAAAAUUUUCUUUGCAUUUGAAUUAAAGAUUAUCAAUAUUUACUCAAUGCUUGAUUUUCUUGAGUGAUACAUUUUGCUUCAAGUGUGUUUGCUGAAUCAUGUUUUGGGCUAUCAUCAUUAGCCCAAUUGCUAGUAUGUUAACAAUAAAUUGGAGGUUUAGCUAGCUAAAUUUGUGCUUGAAUAGUUAAAAAUAAGAAAUAAAAUCAUUAAUUCAGUGGUAUAUUUUGAUUAGAUCUGCAUUUUGUUGAUAUUAUGUUGACGAUUGAUUUUUCUGAAAUUUGGGAUUAAGUUGCCCCAGCAAAAGAACACCCCCUUCAGACUCGUUUGCAUGUUCUGUGUUAUUAAUGUCUGCUAAUUUGAGAAUUGCGAUCAUCUUGAACCCAAACCAGAAAAUAUGGGCAAAUGAAAUUGUAUACUCUUGUAUUUUUGUGCUAGCCUUUUUAACUUCGCUUCUGAAUGGUAUUAAUGGCUUCAAAUAUUUCUCUUCUUUUUAAGUAAUCAGCAAUGUUACUCUUUGAAACGUUUUCCUCUUUUAAUUAGUUUUGACAUUAUCUUAAAGUAGAAUUUAAUUUCCUUUAAUGUUUAAUUAAUUACAUCCUUCGAAUUAGUUAAGGUGUUUCAUAUUAUGUAAAAUAUAGCUUAUGGCCCUUAAAAUUUAGUUUGAACUUCCUUUUAAAAUUGGAACCAAGGUAUGCGGUGCCAAAUAAAAUCUCAAAAUGUAUGUCCCUGAUUUUACUUAGUAUUUGAAUACUUUAGAAUUCCAGGUGUGCUAUUAGUAAAUUUUCCAUGACCCUCACAAAUUAAGAAUGUGCAAUUACUUUAGGCAUGUUAUUUUUAAAAUUACCUUUCUAAACUCGGGUGCGCGUUGAUGUGACUCAAAUUCAAAUCUGAGUAAUGUACAUAAAAUGUGUUGUGGACUGCGAGUGCAUUUAAGUGACGUUGUUCAAAAACCAUUUUUUGUGACGUUGAAAUCUUUCUAAAAAGUAAUUAAAUAAAAGUGGUUAUAAGUUAAAAUUGAACCAUAGGCUAAAACAUGUAUUUAAAUCCAGAUAAUAGGCUAGUUAUAAUAGUUGAGCGACCAUGCUAGAACCACGAAACUCAGGGAUGCCUAACACCUUUUCCUGGAUUAACAGAAUUCCUUACCGGGAUUUUUGUGUUCGCGGACAAUAAAACAGAGUCAAUGUUUCCUCGAUUUCGGAUUUGAACUGGUGACUUGGGAAACCAUACAAUUAUCCCAUGUGGCAACUCUGAACAAUAAAUAAAUUAUCCCGUUUCGAUUGUCAAUUAAACUAGAAAAAAAACUCCCUUAUCUCAACCUACCGGGGAGUAGGUAAAGGAGGUGUGACAUCAUGAGAGCAUGAGGAUUUCGAAAAUAUAAAUUUUACCUAAUUCCGAGAUGUGGGCAUGGGGGAUGGUUUGGUUAUUUUACCUAAUUUCAUGCAUUAGCUUAGAAUUUUAAUUAUAGAAUAAGUUCUUGAAGUGUUAUUUAUAUUAUGAAAUUGAAUUAAAUAGAUUCGGGUCAUUUGGAGUCGAGUACUCGUUGCAAGAACAUGGUCUCGAGUUGACUUGCACUUGUUCGAGGUAAGUGGCUUGUCUAACCAUGUGUGAGGGACUUCUUCCUUAGGAUUUGAUGUAAUUGUUGAUUGAAAUGCCUUAUACUAAGGUGACGAGUGCGUACUUGUGCAAAUUAUUGGAAAUCCGAUUUUCUUUAAGUAUUUAUUAGUAUGUUUCUUCUCCUGCUUUUAUUACAUAUACUAUUAAGCCAGUGUUUAUCUUAGGAAAGCAUGAAUAAGCGAUUUAGUGGCUUUGAUUGUUUAAUCUGUUUACCUAAACUCUGUGAGGCAUGCUAGGCGAGAGUUAUUUGUUUCCUUAAUAUGGAAGUUUCCUUAUUUGAAUAUUUUCUUGUUGCUAAUGCAUAUAUACAUUGGGACUACAGAUGUAGGAUUUCGGUAGCUUCUCUUGUCUGUUUACUUUGGGACUAUGGAUUAGAUUCUCGAUAGAUCCCUCUGCACAUUUGUUUUGGUACUAUGGGUUAGAUUCUUGAAAGAUCCCCCUACACAGUGAUAUAGAACUACGGGAAUGUACCCGGUAGAUUCCCCUGGUACUAGGUUUUACAUUUGGGACAAUGAACCGGGAUUUCGGUACCGCACAUUGAUAGCUGGACUACGGAAUGGUAUCCCGGGAGAUCCUUCGGAUAUAUACAUAUGAUGGACUACAUGACGGUAUCCACGGAGAUCCAUUUGACAGUUGAUGAAAGGGACUAUAGGACGGUUCCUGGGAGAUCCUUGUGUUACUAUUGGUAUUGAGAUGUUCUGAUUUCUGGUUUUACUAUGUUAUUUGCAUAAUUUUUAUUGCCUGGUGUAACCUGUCUUAUUUCAUUUCUUUUUGUAUUUUAUAUUGUUCAUUUCAUAUUGUUGAAACUUAUUAUUAUGUUUAACCUCAGUAGGGCCCUGACCUUCCUCUUCACUACCCGACCGAGGUUUAUAUAGAACUAUAGAAAUGCACCCGGUAGAUUCCCAUAGUACUGGGUAUUUAUAUUUGGGGAAUACGAAUCGGGAUUCAUGUAUAUCGUUCGUGCACUGAUAGUUGGACUACGAGACGGGAUCCCGGGAGUUCCUUCGGAGAUAUAUGAUGGAAUAUGAGAUGGUAUCCCAAGAGAUCCACUGGAUAAUCGUAAUUGGGACUACAUGAUGGUAUCGUAGAAGAUGUAUUGUUGUUAUCUUUAUGUUGAGCUGUAUUUCUUUCCCGUGAUUUAUUUUGUCUCUGUUCUAGUUGUUGUUCUUUCAAUCCUAUGUUACUUCUUGUUGUUGCACAUAUUUCAACUAUUUUACUUCACACUGUUAUCAUUUAUAUUUUGUUUAAUCAUAGUAUGUCCUUGACCUUCCUCGUCACUAUCCGACCGAGGUUAGGCUUUGCACUUACUUAGUGUCGUUGUGGUGUACUCAUGCCCUUUUUGCGCAUGUUUUUCAUGUACAGAUCCAGGUACAUCUAAUUAGACUUACCAUUCUUGAGGCAAGGCAAUUCUAC